GAUAACCUGCCCUUAGGAUUGGCAUAACCCCGGGAAACUGGGGAUAAUUCCAAAUAGAUCAUAGAUGCUGGAAUGCUUUAUGAUUGAAAGCUCGACUGCNUAAGGAUGGAUCUGCGGCCUAUCAGGUAGUAGUGGGUGUAAUGUACCUACUAGCCUACGACGGGUACGGGUUGUGGGAACAAGAGCCCGGAGAUGGAUUCUGAGACAUGAAUCCAGGUCCUACGGGGCGCAGCAGGCGCGAAAACUUUACAAUGCGGGAAACCGUGAUAAGGGAACACUGAGUGCUAGCAUUUAUGUUAGCUGUCCAUAUGUGUAAAAACAUGUGAAGCAAGGGCUGGGCAAGACCGGUGCCAGCCGCCGCGGUAAUACCGGCAGCCCGAGUGGUGAUCGCUAUUAUUGGGUCUAAAGGGUCCGUAGCCGGUUUGAUCAGUCUUCUGGGAAAUCUACUUGCUUAACAAUUAGGCUUCCAGGAGAUACUAUCAAACUUGGGACCGGGAGAGGUAAGAGGUACUGCAGGGGUAGGGAUGAAAUCUUGUAAUCCCUGUGAGACCACCAGUGGCGAAGGCGUCUUACUAGAACGGGUCCGACGGUAAGGGACGAAAGCUGGGGGCACGAACCGGAUUAGAUACCCGGGUAGUCCCAGCUGUAAACGAUGCUCGUUAGGUGUCAGAAACGGUGCGACUGUUUCUGGUGCCGAAGGGAAGCCGUGAAACGAGCCACCUGGGAAGUACGGUCGCAAGGCUGAAACUUAAAGGAAUUGGCGGGGGAGCACUACAACGGGUGGAGCCUGCGGUUU
rnacentral:rRNA from 1 species